rnacentral:misc_RNA from 1 species
GGAAAAUAUUAUUGAACUUUACGGGGACAGAAAAUUUGUAGUAAACAUAUAUUACCACCAUGCUUUGUUGUUUCAAGACAAUUUCAAGAAACAACAACCGGCAAUUGAUUUUUUAUCAAUUGUUAACCUUUGCAAAACCCUCUACGCUUAGAUAACUAGUAUAAGCCAAUUUUAUUUUUACAUCAAAGAGUGCAUUUUUGUUUACAGUAAAUUAAUACUAUAGAGUAUGUCUCAUGUAGUAAUGGUGUUGUGGUAUACUUCAGCAUUAGUCAUUCUUCAUCUAUCGGUACUCACACGUUGUAUCUAGUACAUAAAUUGACUUCUGUGCAGUAUACUACCAUAAGUCGAUAAAUUUAUUUUUCUUCUAUUGUACAAUGAUUCGGUUGUAUUCAAGAAUUAUACAUGUAUUUAAUAUUUUGUUUUAAUUAUUAUAUGUCGUUUUAUUUUAGUUUAAGUGGUUUAUGCCGCUUUGAAUUUAUUUAUAACGAUUUUCUUAUUUAAGGUUCUUAAAAUAAAAAUUUAAAACAUGUG